rnacentral:miRNA from 1 species
AAUCAGCAAGAAUACUGCCCCA